GAACCAGUAACUCUUUUAGACCCUCUCUUGGAGAGACAGCUGACUUCUCUCCAGUCUUAGAGAGAGCUGAAGGGUGGCAGUUCCUGAUAUCUCAGCACCUCCUCCACCUCCGCUGUGACUGGCAAGAGCUGAGUGUGCGGCACUGGUAUAGUAUGAAGGGAGGAAAAAGUCUUUGUGACAGAGAAGGAAAAAGGGACAGGUGGUCAGAUGGAACAAGAAGGCCCCCAGCCAGCUCUUUGAAAGAAGAUCCCAGGCUUGUGAUGACAAUGAUUUUGAAAAGCUAAUUAGAAGAAUCUUCUUUCUUCCCCUAGACCUGAUUUAAAUAGCACACUGGUUCUUAUUCCACAUCCUUCUGCUUCUAUGGAGGAAUUUUUAUUUCUUCAGUCAAAAGAUGCAGGAAAGACAUCCUACCUCUUGGAAGAAUCAUUGGACUGGACAUCCAAACACCUGAGUCCUAGCCUUGAGUCUGCCUCUCACAGCAGUAUGACCCUGGGCAAGUCCUUGUGGAAUAAGGGCAUGGACAGAAUGAUGUCAGAGGUUCCUUCUAGCUCUAAUAUUCUACAGUUUCCUUUUAGUUCAAAUUUAAAGACAAAAUGUCUAACAGUGGUUCUUGUUUGUUAUGACCAGUAUUGUCAAAAGAGAAGUUGUACAAGUUUUUUUUGCCUGUUUUUCAUGUAUGUGUGA
rnacentral:lncRNA from 1 species